UCGGGGAUCGUCUAAUGGUAGGACACUGGGUUCUGGUCCCAGCAAUCGGGGUUCGAGUCCCUGUCCCCGAGCCA
rnacentral:tRNA from 1 species